rnacentral:rRNA from 1 species
UACAGAGGGUGCAAGCGUUGUUCGGAAUUACUGGGCGUAAAGGGCGCGUAGGCGGUUUGGUAAGUCAGAUGUGAAAGCCCGGGGCUCAACCCCGGAAGUGCAUUUGAAACUACCAAGCUAGAGUGCAGUAGAGAAUGGCGGAAUUCCCAGUGGAGAGGUGAAAUUCGUAGAUAUUGGGAGGAACACCGGUGGCGAAGGCGGCCAUUUGGGCUGUAACUGACGCUGAGGCGCGAAAGCGUGGGUAGCAAACAGG